GACAACUUGGCCGAGUGGUUAAGGCGACAGACUUGAAUUUCACAUUCUGGGUAUCUGUUGGGUUCGCCCUCACAGGUUCGAAUCCUGUAGUUGUCG